rnacentral:RNase_P_RNA from 1 species
UUGGCAAGCCAGACAAUCGCCGUCCAGAAGGAGGGAGGAAAGUCCGGACUACAUAGGGCAACGUGCUAGCUAACGGCUAGGGGGCGAAAGCCUACGACCAGUGCAACAGAGAACAGACCGCCCGACCACUCAACCAAGUGUUUAUUGUAAAUUUUUAAAACGACAUUGUUUGAUUAAGAUAUUUUUGGAAAUGUGGGCUUGUAGAGAAAAUUUAUCCAUCCAAAAAUCAACAGUUUGCAUAAGGGUGCAUUGUAAUUUGUUUUUAUAAAUUUAUCCAAUAUAAAAACAUUUGGUUGAGUGGUCAGGUAAGGGUGAAACGGUGGGGUAAGAGCCCACCGCAUGACUGGCGACAGUUCAUGGCAAGGUAAACUCCACGUGUAGCAAGACCAAAUAGGUAUCCCAUGAGUGGCCCGCUUAGGAUACGGGUAGGUUGCUUGAACGCAUGAGUGAUUGUGCGUCUAGAUGAAUGAUUGUCCACGACAGAAUCCGGCUUAUCGGCUUGCCAAUUUU